rnacentral:tRNA from 1 species
UCCUUGGUGCCUCAAAUGGUAAAGGAUCUGCCUGCAAUGCAGGAGACCUGGGUUUGAUCCCUGGUUCAGGAA